GAGGACAAAUAAACUAAUUACCUGAGACCAAAUUAAAUGAAUUUCUAAAAGCUAAACGAUGCCAACAUCAUUUUAUUCAUAUAUUUGUGCCAAGGAGAGAUGUUUCCAAGAUUAUGAAAGUUCAGGACUUGGGUAACAGCUCUUGAGUCAGUACUUUUUCCCUGGUAGAAAUGGCUUUGGUUUGGAGGCGACGAUCAUAACUGGAGGUCAAACUCUGGGAAGGCUUGCAGCUGCAGAUGGGCCGCAUACUCUGUGGUUGCCCUGAUCCACUGGGAUGUGUGAUAUGUAACUGUUAUCUCAAACACUGUAUUCACUGAUGUAAUGUUCAUGUGAGGAGCAGUCCCGUCACUGGAACUCUGGAUUCUCCAGCCCAUUUCAACAUGCCAGCUGGAUUUUGCCUGCCAUUUUUCAUCAUCGUGAGAUACCACGUGCUGGAGGCUGUGGAUCCAAGAUGAAGCUCAUGGCAGAUGUCGCUUCUCCUGAGGCCUCUCCUUGGCUUGCAGAUAUUACUCAUGCCAACAUACUACAGAGGGUAUCCUAGGGCCUCGGCAAGAUCUUGUGCAAGUUUAAAUGAAGCCCUGAAGCUUGAAGUUUAUUAGCCGUAUGGGAAGAAUUGGAAAUCAGAGUGGAGUAUCGCUCAGUCUCCUUGGAAGCAGAAGUUCAAUUCCCAGGACCUAGCACUGGUGAUUGUCAUGUUGCUCACACACAGGCAAUGACAGUGACAUAGGGCAGCUCCCUAGCCACAAGCAAAGUCAGAGUGGGCAAGAUGUGAAAAAAUGUAGGUCCUAGAAUGAGAUGCCAUAUAUCACAUCGAGUGUGGUGAGGUUUCUUUCUUAAGUUAUGGACCGUACAGCAGUGUUGCUAUGGUCUGAAUAUUGGUAUUUUCUCAAGAGUCAUCUAUUAGAACCUCAUACCCACUGUGAUGAUAUUAAGAGGUGAAGCCUCUGGAAAAUGAUCAAGUCACUGAGGAACUCUCAACCUUCUACAAAAAGCUCCAGAGAGCUCCCUGGCCUCCUUCUGCCGCAUGAAGAUGCUCGGAAGGUGCCAUCUCUGAUCCAGAAACUGGAUCUGCUGGCAUCUUGAUCUUGGACUUCUCAGCCUCCAGAAUUGUGGCACUGCCAAUAGGCUUGCAGCCUGGAUGGAAUGAAAAGGCAGAAGGAGGAAGUCCGCCGGUAUUUGAAAAGUUCCACUCUGCUCGAAUGAGUGCAUCUUUUGCUUCGACCAUCACCAGUGGACAUGAGAUUCCUGCUUCUUCAGGCUUUCAACUCAGACUCUCACCAGUGACUCUCCAGGGAACUUCCAGGCUUUUGGUCUUAGACUUGUGCUGGCUGCAUCAAUCCCUCUUGUUCUAUGGCUUCGUGCUUCUCACGUUGAGCAGCUCCUGGAUCCCCUGAUCUCCAGCAUGCAGACAGCCAUGGUGGGGUCUCCCACUUCUGAUCCUGUAAGCCUUCCUAAUAAAAGCCCUUGCCUGA